rnacentral:tRNA from 2 species
GGGAAUGUAGCUCAAUGGUCAGAGUUUUCGCCUUUUAAGCGAUAUUAUGAGGGUUCAAAUCCCUUCAGACCCA